UCAAAAUAAAGAUUACAACAACAGUUAAUCGACAAAAAUAGUUUCAUUACAUAAAGAUAGAUCUAUAUAUCCCAAAUUACAACUAGUUCACCAAAAAAAUUGUCUCAUGACCAAUUCAAAUACAGGAAUUAAUGGAACAUCCUAGUCAUCUUCACCUGCUCCAUCUGUUUCACUUUCUAACUCAUCUUCAGCUUGUUCAUCAUCAUCUUAGCAACUGAUUUCUUCUUCAUGUUACCUAUAUGUAAAUUUUCAAUAUCACAUCAUUUGAAUCUUACGAUCCGAAUAAGAAAAAUAAGCCCCAAUUCCAGCAAACAGAUAUGACCAGAUGACAAUCGACUACAAAUUUAUUUAUAAAUAUUAGGUCGCCAGACUGAUAAAAAUUUAAAAUACAAAUCCCAAAGCUAGUCGACAAGAAAAUAUGAUCACACAUGCCAUAUAAGAUAUGGUUAUACACAACUAAAUCGAAAUUACAAAUGCAAAUAUACGAAUCCCUCUACAAACUCCAAAUCACAGUUGUAAGAAACGAAAAAAAAAAUAAGAAUUUAGGAUUUACCCAAAAUUGAAAAUUUCUGAGGAAAUAUACAGUACUUGUUGGGUCUAUAUAGACGAUUUAAUAUAAAAUCAAAGUUUGACUCUUGUCGAAGGCCGUUGGAAACCACCAUGGUCGAGUGGGUGUGAGAGAAGAGAGAAAAGAAAGAGAAAUGGCAGAAAAAUGAAGGAAAUAAAGGUUUUCAAAGGUUAAUAACUGACCCAUAAGUUUUUAAAAUAUUAAAAAGGCUCCAACCCCUUAAUCCACUCAUUUAGU
rnacentral:lncRNA from 1 species